UUCCGCGUAGUCCAACGGUUAGGAUAUGGGAUUUUCACUCCCAAGAUCGGGGUUCGAUUCCCCGCGUGGAAG
rnacentral:tRNA from 1 species